AGCUCCAAUAGCGUAUAUUAAAGUUGUUGCGGUUAAAACGCUCGUAGUUGGAUACCUGCCAAGGGUGGUCGGUCCUCCUCAGUGGAGAGUACCGGGGUUAGCCCUUGGCGCUAGCUCAGGAAACGUGUGCGCUUAAUUGUGUGCCGCGUGACUUGAGCUUUUACUUUGAGGAAAUGAGAGUGUUUCAAGCAGGCGUUUGCCGUGAAUAUGAUAGCAUGGAAUAAUAGCAUCGGAUCAUCGUACAGCUGCUGGUGUCUGGGCGAGGAUAAAGGUGAACAGGGAUUGUUGGGGGGCAUUCGUAUUUAACUGUCAGAGGUGAAAUUCUUGGAUUUGUUGAAGACGAGCUACUGCGAAAGCAUUUGCCAAAGAUGUUCUCA
rnacentral:rRNA from 1 species